rnacentral:rRNA from 1 species
GGAUGCGGUCAUACCAGCACUAAAGCACCAUAUUCCAUCACAAACUCCGAAGUUAAGCUGCUUAGGUGAGAGUAAUAUUUGAAUGAGUGACCUGUCAAGAACUUAACAAAAUGCUGGUG